UGGGACGACUUGUACUCUGUGUAGAUAAUUUGUUUUUUUUUAUUUUUAUGUUAACGGAUGGAAACGAAGUGUCGUCCCUAAAAGCUAAUUCACAUACCGCCAAUCCCAAAUCCAUUUCCCCCAUUUCAUUACACGCCAAUCACAAAUCUAAUUUUCCCCUAUUUCAUUACACACAAGCAAUCCAGCCACCAUCUCCUUAGUCCUUAUCUGGCCACCACCUACGCAACCAUCACCACCGCAACGUCCACCUCCAUCGUUAAAUCACCACCAUCGUUCUCACCUCAAACCACCACCGCCACCGUAAUCUCCACCAAGUCGAAGUUCCAAAUCCAAAUCAUGAAACUUGGGCUCCACAAGCAGACUAGUAGCUGACUUCUAACAUAAAAUCGGGUUGUCGAGUUCAUGUUUCGGAUUUUGCACAGUUUGAAAGACUCCACAAGAAGCUGGUCACAAUUGGCCGAUCGACGAACGACACCGUGGUUGAUAUUGAUCUAAGAAAAGAAGGUCGUGCCAAGAAGAUAUUCAGGCUGCAGCUAUUUAAGAUGGUCUUAGAGCUUUCGCAUGCACGUUUGAAGGCUUUUGCUGAAUUUCUCUUUCGUAUGGGUGUAUCUCAGGGUGUUCCGUCUACUCUUGCUUUCAUAGCCUUCGAGCUCCCACCUAAUGGAGCUAUUGGCACUCGGAUUCUGGAGUUCCUAUUUUGCUCCAGAUCUGAUAUGGUUAAGUGACAGGUACUAGGUACUGUACGUAAUUGGCUGGGAGCUCAGGGCGUCAAUAGGGAAUCUUGUAAGUUUUAGAUGCCUAAAGUCUGUUGAACAGUUUGCUUUUAUUUUGAUCCGCCUGUGGAUCCCUUUGCAUACCGUUUGUAAUACUUUGAUAUUCUCAUUCGGUUGUAAUAAAAUUAUCUUUUGCU